GACGAACGCUGGCGGCGUGCUUAACACAUGCAAGUCGAACGGAAAGGCCCUGCUUUUGUGGGGUGCUCGAGUGGCGAACGGGUGAGGAACACGUGAGUACCCUGCCCUUGAUUUUGGGAUAACUUCAGGAAACUGGGGCUAAUACCGGAUAGGAGCUCCUGCUGCAUGGUGGGGGUUGGAAAGUUUCGGCGGGUGGGGAUGGACUCGCGGCUUAUCAGCUUGUUGGUGGGGUAGUGGCUUACCAAGGCUUUGACGGGUAGCCGGCCUGAGCGGGUGACCGGCCCCGUUGGAACUGGGCUGCGGCCCAGCCUCCUCCGGGAGGCAGCGGUGCGGAAUAUUGCACAAUGCGCGGAGGCCUAAUGCAGCAACGCCGCGUGGGGUAUGACAGCCAUCGGGUUGUAAUCCGCAUUCGCCUGUGACGAAGCGUGAGUGACGGUAAUGGGUAAAGAAGCACCGGCUAACUACGUG
rnacentral:rRNA from 1 species